AGGACGAACGCUGGCGGCGUGCUUAACACAUGCAAGUCGAGCGGAAAGGCCCUUCGGGGUACUCGAGCGGCGAACGGGUGAGUAACACGUGAGUAAUCUGCCUUCAGCUCUGGGAUAGCUCCGGGAAACCGGGAUUAAUACCGGAUAUGACCACUUCGGACAUCUGUUGUGGUGGAAAGUUUUUCGGCUGGAGAUGAGCUCGCGGCCUAUCAGCUUGUUGGUGGGGUAAAGCCUACCAAGGCGACGACGGGUAGCCGGCCUGAGAGGGCGACCGGCCACACUGGGACUGAGACACGGCCCAGACUCCUACGGGAGGCAGCAGUGGGGAAUAUUGCGCAAUGGGCGGAAGCCUGACGCAGCGACGCCGCGUGGGGGAUGAAGGCCUUCGGUUGUAACCCCUUUCAGCAGGACGAAGCGCAAGUGACGGUACCUGCAGAAGAGCGCCGGCUAACUACGCGCCAGCAGCCGC
rnacentral:rRNA from 1 species